UACGUAUGGGGCAAGCGUUAUCCGGAUUUACUGGGUGUAAAGGGAGCGUAGGCGGCAGGGCAAGCCUGAUGUGAAAGCCCGGGGCUCAACCCCGGGACUGCAUUGGGAACUGCCCUGCUGGAGUGCCGGAGGGGCAGGCGGAAUUCCUAGUGUAGCGGUGAAAUGCGUAGAUAUUAGGAGGAACACCAGUGGCGAAGGCGGCCUGCUGGACGACAACUGACGGUGAGGCUCGAAAGCGUGGGGAGCAAACAGG
rnacentral:rRNA from 1 species